AUGCGGAGGAGCGCCCAUCCAGGCUGCCGGUGCCCCUGGCCACUGGAUCCCUCCCCCGGCGUCGUCGUUCGAGGCACCGCCGCGGCGCCGUCCCGCUUCUGCCGCCGCGGCCAUCUCCACGACGAUGUGGCAGACCUCCUCUCGGAGCUCCACGUUGAAGGCUGGGCCGAGCUGCCGCUGCCUGGGUCCCCCGUGUGCGCUGCCCGCAUCCUGUUCACUGCCGCAGUGCUGCCAUCGGCGUGCUUCGCGCUACCCUCCACCACACUCCCGGUUGGCACCAUGCCGCCGAUGAUGAUCCCAUGGUGA
rnacentral:rRNA from 1 species